CUUAAGGUUUGAGGAGGGAAGUUCCCCAACAUUGUAUCUGAGAAAUGAUCCAACCUCUACGGAGCAGGCAGUGAGGAUAUUGGUUCAAUGGGCGGGAGCUGAUCAGUCAGUCGCGUGAGGGAGGAAGUCUACGAUGUUAAACUCUUAGCCGGGAGCACGUGCGCACGCGUGGCGCAGUGAGGAGUACCCGGAGAAUAAGCAUCGGCUAACUCCGUGCCAGCAGCCGCGGUAAUACGGAGGAUGCGAGCGUUAUCCGGAUUUAUUGGGUUUAAAGGGUGCGCAGGCGGCGCGAAAAGUCAGCGGUCAAAGUUCCGGGCUCAACCCGGUGACGCCGUUGAAACUUUCGUGCUGGAGUUCGUGCGAGGGAGGCGGAAUGCGUUGUGUAGCGGUGAAAUGCAUAGAUAUGACGCAGAACCCCGAUUGCGAAGGCAGCUUUCCAGCACGCGACUGACGCUGAGGCACGAAAGCGUGGGGAGCGAACAGGAUUAGAUACCCUGGUAGUCCACGCGGUAAACGAUGAAUACUAGCCCUGCGGCGCGAAUGAGUGCUGCGGGGCAGAGUGAAAACGUUAAGUAUUCCACCUGGGGAGUACGCCGGCAACGGUGAAACUCAAAGGAAUUGACGGGGGCCCGCACAAGCGGAGGAACAUGUGGUUUAAUUCGAUGAUACGCGAGGAACCUUACCCGGGCUCAAACGGCGGGAGACGCGUCCGGAAACGGGCGUUCCCUUCGGGGCUGCCGCCGAGGUGCUGCAUGGUUGUCGUCAGCUCGUGCCGUGAGGUGUCGGCUUAAGUGCCAUAACGAGCGCAACCCCCAUCUUCAGUUGCCAGCGGGCAAAGCCGGGCACUCUGGAGAGACUGCCAGCGCAAGCUGUGAGGAAGGCGGGGAUGACGUCAAAUCAGCACGGCCCUUACGUCCGGGGCGACACACGUGUUACAAUGGCAGGGUCACAGAGGGAAGCCAGGCGGCGACGCCGAGCCGAUCCCGAAAACCUGUCUCAGUUCGGAUCGGAGUCUGCAACCCGACUCCGUGAAGCUGGAUUCGCUAGUAAUCGCGCAUCAGCCAUGGCGCGGUGAAUACGUUCCCGGGCCUUGUACACACCGCCCGUCAAGCCAUGGAAGCCUGGAGUGCCUGAAGUUCGUGACCGCGAGGAGCGACCAAGGGUAAGACAGGUAACUGGGGCUAAGUCGUAACAAGGUAAAUCACUGGCCGUCGUUAAGUCC
rnacentral:rRNA from 1 species